ACACUCUUUGUCCUUAUCUACCCAGCCACAGCUUCCAGUGCAAGUGUCCUUGUGCCCUGGUGCCUGAUAUCCAGCUCCGGCAGCCUAGAAAAUCAGUUAGGCUUUUCAGUCACAGCACCCUCUGUGACAAACGUGUGGAGCACCGCACGACUUCUUCAACCAGCUGGUUUUUCUGGCAUUCGAAUAAAAGUAAAAAUAGAAAACAAAGAGGGAGAAGAAAAGUGACAAGCUGAAACCUGCGAAGAGAAAGAGGACAAGAAAUGAACAAGUUGAUCUGGUCUUGAGGGAGGAGGAGGCACAGGAACACAGUAAAGGAACCUAUCUGAGGAGCUGCAGACAUGAACCAACAAAGGUCAAACCCCACCUGGAAAAUGAAUUGUGUCCAAAUGAGACCCCUUUAAUGACAGGAUUUGAAACAAUCUCAUUAUGAAACAAUUGCAGUCAAUGGGAAUCCUGAGUCUUCAAGGAAGUAAAAAGAAAAAAAAAUCUCUGUUAUCCUCACAUAUUUAAAGAUUCUCAUAUAAAAGCUUCUCCGAAGAGAACAGCUUGUCCUGUUUAGCUUCAAAGAAGAGAAUGAGGAGGAAGGUCGAGGGAAAAUUACAGAAAAGCAGACUUUGACUUGACACGUGGAAGGACUUCUCACUAAUGCUAUUCCCAAAUACAAUGAGUUGUUUCCGUGAUUGGAGGACUUGAAGAUGUAUAAGUUAUCCACAGGGAUGUUGCAGAGGAAAUUUGACCAUCAUAUGGGUGAAUUAACUGAUAUCUAUGAUCUUUAUUUCUCCUGAGAGUCCAUAAAAGGUAGUGUAAAACCAGCCCAAAUAGUGGUUUACAAGUGCACUGGGUAUGUUAUGUAAGAUUUCUGCUUUCCUGAUGAGGCCCCAAAGCUGAGAGCAAUGAAUGAUACAACAAACACAGCAUCCCCACAGAAUUUUCUAAGAGGUAGACAAAAUUGGCUCUGCAACCUUUAGCCUAUGGUCCACCACUGCCCUAUGUAAGGAAAGGUAAGAAAUUCAAGAGAGAUUAAUCAGAGAGGGAAGGCAAAUGGAAUGAAAUUAGUAGAAAUAAGGAGUACUGUGGCAUUUCUCUUCCCUUUGUAUAAUGAAAGAGAGGAGAAUGUAUCUUCUCCCAAAUUCCAAGCUAAGUGAGAGAGGGCAGAAAACCACCUUCUGAGAAAGAAACUGACGAUCCGUCACAGGGAAGAGAUAUCGACCUCCUUACUUAACAUUUUUGAGCUUGAUUAGAGGAUGAUGCAUUAGAUGCCAUUAUAGGACAAAUGUUUUAUGCAGUGAGAUAAUUGUUUGGAAAUUUGACGUAUACCUCUUGGAAUCUGAGGAGCAUGAAGAUCAGUGUAUGACUCUUGCCUGAAAUCAAGGAGAAAGGAAAACCCUGUCAAUGGCACAAAUUUCCAAAGUUUGGGAUGACAAGGA
rnacentral:lncRNA from 1 species